GUAGGUGAACCUGCGGAAGGAUCAUUACCAAUAUGAAAGCGGGAUGGGGAGCCACGGCAUCAGGCGCUCCGGCGUGUAAUGCCGCCCCAUCUGGCUGACUAUUCACCCAUGUCUUUUGCGUACCAUUUGUUUCCUUGGCGGGCUUGCCUGCCGAUAGGACAGUAUUAAACCAUUUGCAAUUGCAGUCAGCGUCAGAAAAAACUUAAUAGUUACAACUUUCAACAACGGAUCUCUUGGUUCUG
rnacentral:misc_RNA from 1 species